rnacentral:rRNA from 1 species
UGGGGAAUCUUGCUCAAUGGGCGAAAGCCUGAAGCAGCGACGCCGCGUGUGGGAAGAAGGUCUUCGGAUUGUAAACCACUUUCGGGAGGGAAGAAGCGCAAGUGACGGUACCUCCAAAAGAAGGCCCGGCCAACUACGAGCCAGCAGCCGCGGUAAUACGUAGGGGGCGAGCGUUGUCCGGAAUUAUUGGGCGUAAAGAGCGUGUAGGCGGCCCGGUAAGUCCGCCGUGAAAACCUGGGGCUCAACCCUGGGCGUGCGGUGGAUACUGCUGGGCUAGAGGAUGGUAGAGGCGAGUGGAAUUCCCAGUGUAGCGGUGAAAUGCGCAGAGAUCGGGAGGAACACCAGUAGCGAAGGCGGCUCGCUGGGCCAUUCCUGACGCUGAGACGCGAAAGCGUGGGGAGCGAACAG